AUUGAACGCUAGCGGCAUGCUUUACACAUGCAAGUCGAACGAGUGGCGGACGGGUGAGUAAUAUAUCGGAACGUGCCCAGUAGCGGGGGAUAACUACUCGAAAAAGUGGCUAAUACCGCAUACUAUGGGAGGGACCGAAAUUGGAUUAGCUAGUUGGUGGGGUAAAGGCUCACCAAGGCGACGAUCCGUAGCUGGUUUGAGAGGACGACCACCCACACGGGGACUGAGACACGGCCCAGACUCCUACGGGAGGCAGCAGUGGGGAAUUUUGGACAAUGGGGGCAACCCUGAUCCAGCCAUCCCGCGUGUAUGAGAAGGCCUUAGGGUUGUAAAGUAAUUUUGGCAGAGAAGCGGUAUCUGCAGAAUAAGCACCGGCUAACUACGUGCCAGCAGCCGCGGUAAUUC
rnacentral:rRNA from 1 species